GAUCGUCAACAGAGUAAUCUAUGCCCUUUGGUCAGUGUUACUAAAUAAGACCGUCAUUCUGAGAAAACAGGAGCCGAAUCCUUUUCUCUGCCAACCGCUUUGUGAAUGUUCCACCCGGCCCCAACGGUCGGAGGCCUUCAUGUCCCAUCAAGUAGCCGUAGUCCUGGAUGUGUAACUGUAACUUUGAAACGCCAACUCGGCCGUAUUAACUGGGUUCAUUAUUUAAUUUUCUGCUCAGCUUCCUUCAGUUAUCAGCUGAUUGGUCCCCAGUCCCACGGUGUGCUGGUGUGUGUCCGUGGUAACCCUCACCUCAGUGCCCUCUCCUGGAGCCGUGCCGCUGCCCUUCUCUGACUUUAGCGGCUCAGGACGUGGAUCGCCUUAGGGUGGUUGUACUCCGUGUACUGGUUUGUGUUUGUUGAGCCUCUGGCGGGGGCGGGUUUCAUGUUUGUUCACUGGUCUGUAAUUCACACACUUCUUCUAGACUCUUCUAUCGAUGGUCUGGCCCGGAGCGGACUCACAGGGCUUCUGAGUGAGUACUUUAGGCUGCAAAUAGUGGCAUACAAAUAUCUCCAUCAGGCUUUUGUUUGUGAUGUAUAAACAUGAUAUUUAACUAAAUGCCUAUAUAAGGGAAAUGUCUUUGUAGAAUACAAAGUAUCAGCCUUUAUAACAGCAACUUUACAAGGACAUUUAUUUUUCUGAUUAAAAAAGCAUUAAUAUAUUGCUUUGAAAAACCUUUACUAUAACUAUGCUCCAUAACCUUUGAAUAAGACUUAACUUAACAUAUCACAAAUCUUAACAUAAAUAAAAGCUAAGGUAGCUCAGGUAGGUCACUCCAAGGACAUUAUACACCUAGAUGAAGGUUAAGUCUGGAUAAGUGAUAAUGUUUUAUCUUUGUUGUAAUUUUAAGUAGGUCACAGAUUUUAACUGGGCAGGUAAAUUAGGAUAGAAUCCAUUAAUUACAUGAUUGGUUUGGAGUCCAGUGAGGACAACGAGGUGAUAUACAUUAAUACACAAUCAAACGUAUUUAUUUUCUGUUGUGUAUUGGUCUGUUUAGUUAUUUAAUAAAAUAGAUGUAUGCCAUGUGGCGAAAGUUACUAAGAAAUGGUUACAGUGUCAACGUGAUGGUCACAUCUCAGUGUAGCUAAUUACUUAAUUUGAACAGUAUGUUAAACAGCCAACCGUUGUAUCCUAAACGUUUGUAUGCUAUAAUAAAGGAGUCCGGCUCAAAGCGCACUCCUAAUGAGAGGGUUUGGUUGACAAUGGCGUAGAAAACACAAUACUAUUGUUAAACAAUAUAAAUUCCACUCAUAUAAAACCAUUAUGCGAAAUUCAAGCUCUUGUGUUCCUUAACUUAUGUUUCAAACAAGUUGCAAGAGUAAAACUCAAAGAAUAGGGUUGAGCGAAGGGGGAACGUGAGGGGAUAGCCUGGUGUUGGGGAACAGUGAAAGGGGCUGAUUGUAUCCGUCUCUUUCUCCCCGGGACAGCCUCGCUGGUAAAGAAAAUGGAGAAAGAUUUAGGGAGAGAGCGCGCAGGGUGCUAGGGGAAGCAGCUCGCUGUGCAGCUGCUCUGGAUGCCUUUGGAUUACAUCAGAGUGGCUGAGAAAACAAGAGGCAGCGAGAGGGAGAGAGGAGCUCGGGUAAACCCGUCGCAGUGACACUUCCAGGGUGGCCUUCACCAAACCAUGUUCUCAGGGGCUCUGAUGGUGUUGCUGGUGGUCCUCAUCAUGUGCAGGAGGGUCAUAUGGCACGGGAUCUGCCUGCUGAUUGGUCGGAUGUUGUUUAACGAGCCUGUGAGGGAUAAACAAAGAACUAAUAAAGUUUUGUGAGACCAACGCACUGAGUCAAUCAUUUUAUCCGAUUUUCAAUGACGAGUCUUCAGCUCAUGGAGCUCAGGGUGAGACCACAGAUGGAUCAGCCUUGUGUGAGGAGAAAUGUGUUAUUUGAUCUCAGGGGAGACCUGAUGACCACCACACAUUGAACACUGACCCCUGUCCAGUUGUCUAAAGAUGGAUCUGGUCACCAAUUAAAGUCACUAUCUUUGAUAUUGCAGAUAUAUUGUAACCUUCUUGUGAAUGAUUGUUGACAAUAAGGCACACCGUGUUUACACUAUUUUAUAUUACAUA
ensembl:lncRNA